UCGAGCCAUGUCCACACGGAGACGGCUCCUUCGACACCGGAAGUAGUAAAACGUCAUUUCCGGUGUCAAAGUAGCUUGCCCUGUCUGGGCAUAGCUCCUUCGACACCGGUAGUUGAGGGUGACAUCACUUCUGGUGUCGCAGCCUCGUGCGACUGUCACCGCUGUCACUGCCCUUCCCGAGUCUGCGACUGGUCAAGUUCUGGGUUCUUGCCAAGUUCAUGGACCAGCAGGUGCAGAACAUCGUGCAGAAGGUGGCCAGGGCCAGGAUUCAGCAGGAGUACUAGGGGAUGCAAUGAAGGCUUCCUCAAGUGCUGGCUGGACCAUCAAAAGUGUUCCACCAGCCAUGCUCUGUGAGGUUGAGUUUCCUCCACUUUGCUCUCCUGCUGCUUCCGCACCACCUCUGCCACUUGCUUCUGCUGCUUCCUCCCCUGAGAGUACCUGUGCACCUUGUGAAGCAGCUGCUGAUCACGUGCAGAGAUGUCAAAAUCUGCAGGCUCUCCUGUACCAGGUGCCUGCAUGGCCUCUGAGCUCGUUUUGGACAGAAGCCAACCAGUUGUCACAUAUGGAAAGGCUGAGCGGAGGCACACACGAGGCAAGCCGUCUGAUGUGCCAGUGAAGUAGAGCCAUGGUGCUGGGUUCAGGCUGGUUGGUGGUGUUUGAGUCCACAGCAAGGAUAGUCAGGUAGGGCAAACCUGGGAGAGCAUGCCUCUUGCUAGUGUAGAAGAGUGCCUGAAAGCCACAUCUUCAAGGAGCACAGCUUUUUUGAGUAGAAAAGCUAUACUCCGUUCCACCUUUGUUCCGAGCGCAGUGGACGCCAUAAGCCAUUCCAGCCGAUCCAGCGCCAGGAGAAAAUUGCGUGACCUGCCUGUUGGGCAGAGCGACACCUGGAGCUCGAGGUCACAUGCCACCCUCUCAACGCUGGAUUGGCUGGGAUGGCUCCUAUAGCGUCCACUGCGCUCGGACUGAAGGUGAAACGGAGUAUAGUGCAGAGGAGUGCCCGAAAACCACUCCCUUUGGAAGCACAGCUUUUGGAGGGAAUGGUGAGUGUGAAGCUAGUGCAGAGGAGUGCCCAAAAGCCACUUCCUUGGGAAGCACAGCUUCUGUAAAGGCUUGCGAGCAAGCAGCCCUUGUCACUGCUGAUGCUUCGGGUAGAAAAUCUAGUGCAGAAUGCCUAAAACCACUUUCUUGGAAGUCGUAGCUUUUGCAGAGAAAGGUGAGCAUGAAGCUAGUGUAGAGGAGUGCCCGAAAGCCUCUUCUUCGGGGAGCACAGCUCCUGUAAAGACAUGGGAGCAAGCAGCCGGUGCCACUGGCAAUGCUUCAGGUGGGAAAGCUAGUGCAGAGAAGUGCCUACAAGUCACUUCCUCGGGGAGCAAGGUGGUGUGCCCUUUCCGAAGCACGGUGAGAGGAGGGAAGCAGCGUGGGUGAAGUACAUUGAGCAUGAAGCAAGGGUCUCGCAGGCAGUGUAAGGCACUAAACCAUACUGCCACCAUUGCAUCCCCCACCAUUGCUUGGGAUGGAGGAGACCUUGCAUAGGGUGCCACUGUUCUUUGCAUGUGUCUGAUAAUCCAUUUUCUGGCUUGGGGGAGGACAGCCCAGCAUGUGCGACAAAGAGCAGGGCCACUGGAGGCAAGCAUCCCGCCACAGCUUUGCUGUAGAACCAUUUUCCUGCAGGCCAAGUUUAGGAACUAUCCAACCUAUCUAGCAGCAUUUGAAGACGACCAAAAAAGGGUUGCAUGUAUCUUCGAAAAAAAAAAAAAAGAAGGUCCAGGGAUUAUUUUUGUCAAAGACAUGUUUACUAGUUCAAUCUGAUGAAUUUAAGUACUCCAUGGUUGAGUUCAUCUAGUCAAACCAACAGCUAACUCCUUGGCUCAAUGCGGUGAACGAGAGCUAAAUGAAAAAUUGGUCGAUAUUCAGGCAUUCCUUAGCAGUCUUACAACCUUCCCUAGCAACCAGGUGCAGCUCUUGCCAUAGUCUGUUGCACCCUGUGCAGCUCGAGAGGAUGUAUCUCAGCAGCAGCUAAUAGACAACAAUCGGUGGGGCAACUUUUUCCGAAAAACUGUGCAUUAGUUUGAUUAAACGCAGGAGGCAGACCACGAAAUGUGACAGUUAUAAGAAAGCAUGCACUUUCUGGAAUGUUCCACAACAAGGCACUUCACCUUAGUAUGAUAGGGGCAGACUUAAUUCCUCUCUACAAAAGUUAUUCACUUACUGAAAAAGAACUGACAUGUGUAAGAUCCAACAGUUCUCUGUCUGAUAGUGUUAUGAAUAUUGUGCGGUACUUAACACGUAAAACAUUUCCACAUUGGGGUGGUUUUCAAGCUGUUCUGUUAGCUGAGGGACUAAAAUUCAAACAGGUGAGAGAUGCUUUCAUUCAGCUAUUGCGUACAAAAGUUCCAGACCAUUGGCAGUGAUGUGAUACUUGUGCCAAAGGGCUACAUCUUGCUGCAUUUGACCAAAAUCUGAGGAACUCUGGCCAACAUUGCGCCAAAACUUAAUUUUAACAACUCGCAAUUUGGCUGGAACAAUAGGAUUGUGCAAGUUGGCAGAUCUUUAGAAUAUUACGUCAUAUAACAUACUAACUCGGUCUGAUUUCGCAUCAAACACAGACAUUACUCGUGUAAGCGAGUGCCAUUGUGUUUUUCCCUUUUUCUUCUAUUUUGCCGGGCGCAUCCCUGAAGUCGCCUACGAAGCUCAGAGGGCACGAAUGUUGUGUUCUUAAAGGCAUGUGUUAACACCCACUCUUCGGCAUCAGGGGUCUCAAACGUGGGUUCCAGCGCUAUGAAGAUGCAACUGGCUGGCGUCGGACCGGAUGCGGCAUCUGCCAGCCAGGCGAGACCAAGCACCGCGAGAGAAGAACUAUACAGCAGUCUACCUGCAAGACUCUGAGCAAGAGCAUUGUGCGAUGGUGGUAUGCAACCACCAUAGUUCCCAAAUUUGUAAAUUUGGGAACUAUGGCCUAAAUUUGUACUUUCGACUAUAUUAAACCCAGUGUUUUUUUAAUUGCCAAAA